rnacentral:rRNA from 1 species
ACGGGUGAGUAAUGCCUAGGAAUCUGCCUGAUAGUGGGGGAUAACGUUCGGAAACGGACGCUAAUACCGCAUACGUCCUACGGGAGAAAGCAGGGGACCUUCGGGCCUUGCGCUAUCAGAUGAGCCUAGGUCGGAUUAGCUAGUUGGUGAGGUAAUGGCUCACCAAGGCUACGAUCCGUAACUGGUCUGAGAGGAUGAUCAGUCACACUGGAACUGAGACACGGUCCAGACUCCUACGGGAGGCAGCAGUGGGGAAUAUUGGACAAUAGGCGAAAGCCUGAUCCAGCCAUGCCGCGUGUGUGAAGAAGGUCUUCGGAUUGUAAAGCACUUUAAGUUGGGAGGAAGGGUAUUAACCCAAUACGUUAGUACUUUGACGUUACCGACAGAAUAAGCACCGGCUAACUCUGUGCCAGCAGCCGCGGUAAUACAGAGGGUGCAAGCGUUAAUCGGAAUUACUGGGCGUAAAGCGCGCGUAGGUGGUUUGUUAAGUUGAAUGUGAAAUCCCCGGGCUCAACCUGGGAACUGCAUCCAAAACUGGCAAGCUAGAGUAUGGUAGAGGGUAGUGGAAUUUCCUGUGUAGC